rnacentral:tmRNA from 1 species
GGGGGUGUUCCGGUUUCGACGGGGGGUUUUGAAGGUUGGGUAAGCGAGCCGCGGACCCUGUACCGCGCAACAACGGGGAAAAACAACAACCGACAAUAACGAAUUCGCUUUCGCGGCUUAAUGCCGCGCGUCGGCCCGAACCGCCCACGGAUUCGGUUCCCGGCGUCAUGAUCGUGGGGGACGAGCACAUCAAAGCUUUGAGGUGUUGUUCGUAAAAUGAAGCUACCGUAGGCAUAAGCCCGUCAGGGGGCGUUUGCCGAGGGGAAUCCCAAAUCCCUGAAUGCGCUCGGAGAAAGCCUGAUCGGCAUGCUUUCGGACAGGGGUUCAACUCCCCUCACCUCCACCA